UACGGAGGGGGCUAGCGUUGUUCGGAAUUACUGGGCGUAAAGAGCUCGUAGGCGGUUUGUCGCGUCUGCUGUGAAAACUCGGGGCUUAACCCCGAGCCUGCUUCUGAUACGGGCAGACUAGAGGUAUGCAGGGGAGAACGGAAUUCCUGGUGUAGCGGUGAAAUGCGCAGAUAUCAGGAGGAACACCGGUGGCGAAGGCGGUUCUCUGGGCAUUACCUGACGCUGAGGAGCGAAAGUGUGGGGAGCGAACAGG
rnacentral:rRNA from 1 species